rnacentral:rRNA from 1 species
AUUGAACGCUGGCGGCAGGCCUAACACAUGCAAGUCGAGCGGAUGAAGGGAGCUUGCUCCUGGAUUCAGCGGCGGACGGGUGAGUAAUGCCUAGGAAUCUGCCUGGUAGUGGGGGAUAACGUCCGGAAACGGGCGCUAAUACCGCAUACGUCCUGAGGGAGAAAGUGGGGGAUCUUCGGACCUCACGCUAUCAGAUGAGCCUAGGUCGGUUUAGCUAGUUGGGGGGGUAAAGGCCUACCAAGGCGACGAUCCGUAACUGGUCUGAGAGGAUGAUCAGUCACACUGGAACUGAGACACGGUCCAGACUCCUACGGGAGGCAGCAGUGGGGAAUAUUGGACAAUGGGCGAAAGCCUGAUCCAGCCAUGCCGCGUGUGUGAAGAAGGUCUUCGGAUUGUAAAGCACUUUAAGUUGGGAGGAAGGGCAGUAAGUUAAUACCUUGCUGUUUUGACGUUACCAACAGAAUAAGCACCGGCUAACUUCGUG